GAUUCAAAGAGAUUCAAAACUUUCGUUACUACUGCUAUCUUCCCAGAAGCCCCUUAAAUCCUCCUGGAUUUGAUGACAUUAAGCAUGUUCCUGAAAGCCAUCCCCAUGCUAAAUGGCUGCAGUAAUCUAGCUGCAACCAGAAGUGAUGUGAGUCACAUAAGUGCAUCCCCCACUCAACUUCCCCCGAAUGCCUCCGACCACCCAGAGCCACUUGACACACAGGAUGUGAGGGAGACAGGUUGGAGAGGUCUUAAGUGCCUGCAAUUACAGUAGUUCACUGUGUCAGAUUUUACAAAAACAUAUGACCAUGUGAACACAUUGCUGGAGCUCUUUCUAAGACCUUGAAAAGGCCGGAUAAAGACUUUGUAAACUAGAGGGUAUUUGUAAGAUGAAACAUUAUACAGCCGAGGAGAACAAUUUUUUUGUAUUUAAAAAUAAUCUUUUCAUAAUAAUAAAUGUGCAUUUCAGAAAAUUAGAAAAUAUAGAUAAAACUGCAUAAUAUAAGAAAAUAAAAACAUCAUAUUCCUGUCACCAAGAGGUGACCACUGUUAAUACCUUAGCAUAUAGCUUUGCAGAUUUUGAAAUCUCUUGAUGACAGUUAAAACUGCCCAAAAAUGAUGUGGAGUGAAAAAAAAAAUCAGUACAAGUUGUCUCAACAAUGAUAUUGAGUUGUGAAGUUACAUACACGUUGAACAGUAUUAAAAUGAAAUAUACCAAAAAUGUUAACAGGGUUUAUUUGUGGAUCAUAGGUGUAAGGGAUUUCCUACAUCAGGCAUGCAGACUUUUAUAAUAAGAAAAAAAUGAAUCAUUUAGAAAAGUAAUUAUAGAUUUCCAGAAGUGAGAUGCAAUUAUGAGCGUAUGUAAAAUCGGAUAAACAGCUUAUUUUGUGUCUGAUGAUUAUGUAGCUGCAUUAUGGUGUUUCAUGUUCUCCUUCCUUAAAAAAAAAAAACCCAAAUCAGAUCAGAUUGUGAUUUUGUUCCCUGACAUUAACACGUGGGCAUUACAGGAACGUGUAUGUCACAUGGUCAAUUCAUUGCCAGAAGGAUUAUGUCGUCAGGGGAAUAAAUUUGAAAUUCUCAAGGUACUUUGCUCUGGUAAUCAGGACUUUAUUUAUCUCUAAGCUAAAAGAGGGGAUUGAAUUCUUUAACAAUGAUCAGAAAAUGCUUUUAGGAAGAUUCCUUUCUUAUUAAAAUUUUUCUUAAAGUUGCA
rnacentral:lncRNA from 1 species